rnacentral:rRNA from 1 species
GCCUUCCGGUUGUAAAGCACUUUUGUCCGGAAAGAAAUGGCUCUGGUUAAUACCUGGGGUCGAUGACGGUACCGGAAGAAUAAGGACCGGCUAACUACGUGCCAGCAGCCGCGGUAAUACGUAGGGUCCAAGCGUUAAUCGGAAUUACUGGGCGUAAAGCGUGCGCAGGCGGUUGUGCAAGACCGAUGUGAAAUCCCCGAGCUUAACUUGGGAAUUGCAUUGGUGACUGCACGGCUAGAGUGUGUCAGAGGGGGGUAGAAUUCCACGUGUAGCAGUGAAAUGCGUAGAGAUGUGGAGGAAUACCGAUGGCGAAGGCAGCCCCCUGGGAUAACACUGACGCUCAUGCACGAAAGCGUGGGGAGCAAACAGGAUUAGAUACCCUGGUAGUCCACGCCCUAAACGAUGUCAACUAGUUGUUGGGGAUUCAUUUCCUUAGUAACGUAGCUAACGCGUGAAGUUGACCGCCUGGGGAGUACGGUCGCAAGAUUAAAACUCAAAGGAAUUGACGG